rnacentral:rRNA from 1 species
GCGACGCUGGCGGCGUGCUAUACAUGCAAGUCGAGCGAACAGAGAAGGAGCUUGCUCCUUUGACGUUAGCGGCGGACGGGUGAGUAACACGUGGGCAACCUACCCUAUAGUUUGGGAUAACUCCGGGAAACCGGGGCUAAUACCGAAUAAUCUAUUGUCCCUCAUGGGACAAUACUGAAAGACGGUCUCGGCUGUCGCUAUAGGAUGGGCCCGCGGCGCAUUAGCUAGUUGGUGAGGUAACGGCUCACCAAGGCGACGAUGCGUAGCCGACCUGAGAGGGUGAUCGGCCACACUGGGACUGAGACACGGCCCAGACUCCUACGGGAGGCAGCAGUAGGGAAUCUUCCACAAUGGGCGAAAGCCUGAUGGAGCAACGCCGCGUGAGUGAAGAAGGAUUUCGGUUCGUAAAACUCUGUUGUAAGGGAAGAACAAGUACAGUAGUAACUGGCUGUACCUUGACGGUACCUUAUUAGAAAGCCACGGCUAACUACGUGCCAGCAGCCGCGGUAAUACGUAGGUGGCAAGCGUUGUCCGGAAUUAUUGGGCGUAAAGCGCGCGCAGGUGGUUUCUUAAGUCUGAUGUGAAAGCCCACGGCUCAACCGUGGAGGGUCAUUGGAAACUGGGAGACUUGAGUGCAGAAGAGGAUAGUGGAAUUCCAAGUGUAGCGGUGAAAUGCGUAGAGAUUUGGAGGAACACCAGUGGCGAAGGCGACUAUCUGGUCUGUAACUGACACUGAGGCGCGAAAGCGUGGGGAGCAAACAGGAUUAGAU